GUAAUCUUCUCUCAAAUUCCGGUUCCAUUGUUACCUCUGUUUUGGCACUGAACUGCACAUACACACAAACACAGCAGUAUGGGAAUCUUGUCAAGUAUCAAACAAAUUUAAGUGACUUUGGUUUUACAAACAGUAGAUCAUCACAAUCACAGACAAGCUCCGGCAUCUAUUUUCAUU